CAGCCGCCACGGGAACACGUAGGGUGCAAGCGUUAAUCGGAAUUACUGGGCGUAAAGCGUGCGCAGGCGGUUAUAUAAGACAGAUGUGAAAUCCCCGGGCUCAACCUGGGAACUGCAUUUGUGACUGUAUAGCUAGAGUACGGCAGAGGGGGAUGGAAUUCCGCGUGUAGCAGUGAAAUGCGUAGAUAUGCGGAGGAACACCGAUGGCGAAGGCAAUCCCCUGGGCCUGUACUGACGCUCAUGCACGAAAGCGUGGGGAGCAAACAGGAUUAGAUACCCCCGUAGUCCCUGUCUCUUAUAC
rnacentral:rRNA from 1 species